ACCGCCCCCCCCUCCCGGGGCCAAAAAGGGGGGAAAGAAAACCCCCCAAAUCUUUUUUAGGGGGGGGGGGAUGCAAGAAAUACCAAUACAGGGCCUAACGGUCUGGUAAUUGGAAUGAGUGAAGUAUAAACCCCUUUCCGAGUAUCAAUUGGAGGGCAAGUCUGGUGCCAGCAGCCGCGGUAAUUCCAGCUCCAAUAGCGUAUAUAAAAGUUGUGGCAGUUAAAAAGCUGGUAGUUGGAUUUCUGUGGUAUAAUUUAUAAUAUUACCAAGGUAAUUAUUAUAUUAUCAACAUCCUUCCUAUUAUAUUCUAAAUAUAUAGGAAAUUUUACUUUGAGAAAAUUAGAGUGCUUAAAGCAGGCAACUGCCUUGAAUACUCCAGCAUGGAAUAAUAAGUAAGGACUUUUGUCUUUCUUAUUGGUUCUAGGACAAAAGUAAUGGUUAAUAGGGACAGUUGGGGGCAUUCGUAUUUAACAGCCAGAGGUGAAAUUCUUAGAUUUGUUAAAGACGAACUACUGCGAAAGCAUUUGCCAAGGAUGUUUUCAUUAAUCAAGAACGAAAGUUAGGGGAUCGAAGACGAUCAGAUACCGUCGUAGUCUACCAUAAUCUAUGCCGGAUAGG
rnacentral:rRNA from 1 species